GGGCCAGUGGUCUAGUGGUUAUGACGUCGCGCUUACACCGCGAAGGUCGGGAGUUCGAUCCUCUCCUGGCCCACCA
rnacentral:tRNA from 1 species